rnacentral:rRNA from 1 species
AUACGGAGGAUGCAAGCGUUAUCCGGAUUUAUUGGGUUUAAAGGGUGCGUAGGCGGAUGAUUAAGCGUGAGGUGAAAUGCCACUGCUCAACAGUGGAACUGCCUCGCGAACUGGUUGUCUUGAAUGCUCCUGCCGUGGGAGGAAUGUGUGGUGUAGCGGUGUAAUGCAUAGAGAUCACACAGAACACCGAUUGCGAAGGCAUCUCACGAAGGGGUGAUUGACGCUGAGGCACGAAAGCGUGGGGAUCAAACAGGAUUAGAUACCCUGGUAGUCCACGCAGUAAACGAUGAUAACUAACCGCUGGGUCGUAGUGAUUCAGUGGCCAAGCGAAAGCGAUAAGUUAUCCACCUGGGGAGUACGACCGCAAGGUUGAAACUCAAAUGAAUUGGCGGGG